UACGGCCACAUAACGUUGAAACACGGGUUUCCGUACGACCACCGAAGUUAAGCAACACCGAGCCUGAUCAGUACCUAGAUGGGUGAUCGCUUAGGGAUACCAGGUACUGUAAG